GAUGAACGCUGGCGGCGUGCUUAAUACAUGCAAGUCGAGCGAACAGACGAGGAGCUUGCUCCUCUGACGUUAUCGGCGGACGGGUGAGUAACACGUGGAGAACCUACCUAUAAGACUGGGAUAACUUCGGGAAACCGGAGCUAAUACCGGAUAAUAUAUUGAACCGCAUGGUUCAAUAGUGAAAGACGGUUUUGCUCUCACUUAUAGAUGGAUCCGCGCCGCAUUAGCUAGUUGGUAAGGUAACGGCUUACCAAGGCAACGAUGCGUAGCCGACCUGAGAGGGUGAUCGGCCACACUGGAACUGAGACACGGUCCAGACUCCUACGGGAGGCAGCAGUAGGGAAUCUUCCGCAAUGGGCGAAAGCCUGACGGAGCAACGCCGCGUGAGUGAUGAAGGUCUUCGGAUCGUAAAACUCUGUUAUUAGGGAAGAACAAAUGUGUAAGUAACUAUGCACGUCUUGACGGUACCUAAUCAGAAAGCCACGGCUAACUACGUG
rnacentral:rRNA from 1 species